rnacentral:misc_RNA from 1 species
UCUCCGUUGGUGAACCAGCGGAGGGAUCAUUAUCGAGUUUAUAACUCCCAAACCCUAUGUGAACUUACCACUUGUUGCUUCGGCGCGCGCUUCGGCGCCGCCGAGGACACUUAAACUCUUUGUUUUUAUAAGCAUUUCUGAGUGGCCGAAAGGCAAAAUACAAAUGAAUCAAAACUUUCAACAACGGAUCUCUUGGUUCUGGUAUCGAUGAAGAACGCAGC